AAGAAAAAUAAAAAUGAGCUUCUAACUCAUUAGGUAGCAAUUUAAAAUGUUAUUUUCUUU
rnacentral:tRNA from 1 species